rnacentral:rRNA from 1 species
AGAACGAACGCUGGCGGCAUGCCUAACACAUGCAAGUCGAACGCUCUUGAGGCUUCGGUUUCAAGGGAGUGGCGCACGGGUGAGUAGCGCGUGGGAACCUGCCCUGUUGUGGGGGAUAACCGAGGGAAACUUCGGCUAAUACCGCAUGCGCCCGGGGAAACCCGGGGAAAGAUUUAUCGCAGCAGGAGGGGCCCGCGUCGGAUUAGGUAGUUGGUAGGGCAACGGCCUACCAAGCCUUUGAUCCGUAGCUGGUCUGAGAGGAUGAUCAGCCACACUGGGACUGAGACACGGCCCAGACUCCUACGGGAGGCAGCAGUGGGGAAUAUUGGACAAUGGGCGCAAGCCUGAUCCAGCAAUGCCGCGUGAGUGAUGAAGGCCUUAGGGUUGUAAAGCUCUUUCGCCCGCGACGAUGAUGACGGUAGCGGGAGAAGAAGCCCGGCUAACUUCGUGCCAGCAGCCGC